rnacentral:rRNA from 1 species
AUUGAACGCUGGCGGCAUGCCUUACACAUGCAAGUCGAACGGCAGCACGGGGCAACCUGGUGGCGAGUGGCGAACGGGUGAGUAAUGCAUCGGAACGUACCUUUCAGUGGGGGAUAACGUAGCGAAAGUUACGCUAAUACCGCAUAUUCUGUGAGCGGGAAAGCAGGGGAUCGCAAGACCUUGCGCUGAUUGAGCGGCCGAUGUCAGAUUAGCUAGUUGGUGAGGUAAAGGCUCACCAAGGCGACGAUCUGUAGCGGGUCUGAGAGGAUGAUCCGCCACACUGGAACUGAGACACGGUCCAGACUCCUACGGGAGGCAGCAGUGGGGAAUUUUGGACAAUGGGGGCAACCCUGAGCCAGCCAUGCCGCGUGAGUGAAGAAGGCCUUCGGGUUGUAAAGCUCUUUCGGCCGGGAAGAAAUCGCACGGGCUAAUACCCUGUGUGGAUGACGGUACCGGAAUAAGAAGCACCGGCUAACUACGUGCCAGCCGCCGCCGUAAGAC